rnacentral:rRNA from 1 species
UACAGAGGGUGCGAGCGUUAAUCGGAAUUACUGGGCGUAAAGCGUGCGUAGACGGCUAUCUAAGUCGGGUGUGAAAGCCCCGGGCUCAACCUGGGAAUUGCAUUCGAGACUGAAUAGCUAGGGUGCGGUAGAGGGAAGCGGAAUUUCCGGUGUAGCGGUGAAAUGCGUAGAUAUCGGAAGGAACAUCAGUGGCGAAAGCGGCUUCCUGGACCAGCACCGACGUUCAGGCACGAAAGCGUGGGAGCAAACAGG